rnacentral:rRNA from 1 species
AAAAUCCGUUGUAUGAUCCAAAGACGUGAUGUGGAGCGAAAUAAAGUAGCAAAGCGUGUGAGCCAUGUGCCGAGAAAAGCUGCUAUUGUGUAAUGCGUGCCCGUACCGUAAACCGACACAGGUGGAUGAGGAGAGAAUCCUAAGGCCGACGGAAGAAGCAUUGUUAAGGAAUUCGGCAAAAUGACCCCGUAACUUCGGGAGAAGGGGUGCCUGCGAGAGCAGGCCGCAGAGAAUAGGCUCAAGCAACUGUUUAGCAAAAACACAGGUCUAUGCGAAACCGAAAGGUGAAGUAUAUGGGCUGACGCCUGCCCGGUGCUGGAAGGUUAAGAGGAGAGGUUAGCGAAAGCGAAGCUUGAAUUUAAGCCCCAGUAAACGGCGGCCGUAACAAUAACGGUCCUAAGGUAGCGAAAUUCCUUGUCGGGUAAGUUCCGACCCGCACGAAAGGCGUAAUGAUUUGAGCACUGUCUCGACAAUGCAUCCGGUGAAAUUGAAGUACCAGUGAAGAUGCUGGUUACCCGCGCCAGGACGGAAAGACCCCAUGGAGCUUUACUCCAGUUUGAUACUGGGAUUCGGUACUGCAUGUACAGGAUAGGUGGGAGACGAAGAAGGAUGGACGCCAGUCUGUCCGGAGUCGCUGUUGGGAUACCACCCCUGUAGUACUGGGUUUCUAACCAGUUACAUGAUCUGGUAAUGGGACAAUGUCAGGCGGGGAGUUUGACUGGGGCGGUCGCCUCCGAAAGGGUAUCGGAGGCGCUCAAAGGUUCCCUCAGAAUGGUUGGAAACCAUUUGAAGAGUGCAAAGGCAGAAGGGAGCUUGACUGCGACACCGACGGGUGGAGCAGGUACGAAAGUAGGACUUAGUGAUCCGGUGGUAUAAAGUGGGAUUGCCAUCGCUCAACGGAUAAAAGCUACCCUGGGAUAACAGGCUUAUCACUCCCAAGAGUUCACAUCGACGGAGUGGUUUGGCACCUCGAUGUCGGCUCAUCGCAUCCUGGGGCUGUAGCAGGUCCCAAGGGUUGGGCUGUUCGCCCAUUAAAGCGGUACGCGAGCUGGGUUCAGAACGUCGUGAGACAGUUCGGUCCCUAUCCGGCGCGGGCGGAGGAUAUUUGAGAGGAGCUGUCCUUAGUACGAGAGGACCGGGAUGGACGGACCACUGGUGUAUCUGUUGUCGACCAACGGCAUGGCAGAGUAGCCAAGUCUGGAAGGGAUAAACGCUGAAGGCAUCUAAGCGUGAAGCCCCCCUCAAGAUGAGAUAUCCCUCCUUCGGGAGUAAGACCCCUUGAAGACUACAAGGUAGAUAGGGCAGAGGUGGAAGCAUGGCAACAUGUGGAGCUGACUGUUACUAAUAGGUCGAGGGCCU